AGCCAAAGUGGCUUAGUGGGCUCAGAGCUGGACUAAGAAUCCAUCAAACCAGGAUUCAAAUCCCUGCUGGUUG